AUCAUUCCGUAUGCUCUAAAAGCAAAACGACCAAAACUUCAAAAUAACGAUCUCUUGUUACAUCUUUAGUGAAGGUAUUUUUAAGAAUGGAGCUAUGAAUAAGCCAAGUGCUUUGCCUGAUGAUGAAAGGCUCUACAAGUACCGAAUAUGGCUAAAUACACUACUAGCUCGAAAAUUCCUCCCCCAGUGAAUUAGGAGGUAUAUGAUCUGAUUCCUCAUCUCUGUUUGACUUGUUUCUUUGAAGAGGCACGAGAUGACUGUUGGAAGACGGGACUAUAUGUGUGUUGCUGAAUAAUAUUGAUAAGAACGAAAGUAUUUGCAGCCAAGAACAGCAAACCUGCCACCCAGAGUUGAAGAAAGACAUUCUUUCCUUUAAAUUCAAGCAAAUAACCCCACAAUAACCAGUGACACUGAGCUGCCAUCCACAACAAGAUGCAGACCAGUCCUUUUCCUCCGAGCUUCAUGUUAGU
rnacentral:misc_RNA from 1 species